GAUGAACGCUGACAGAAUGCUUAACACAUCAGCAAUUGAUUGGUGGCGGACGGGUAAGUAACGAGUAAAGAACUUCCCUCACAGUUAGGGACAACAUUUGGAAACGAAUGCUAAUACCUAAUACUGUGAGAGAGCUUUGCGUCCCAUUAGCUAGUUGGAGAGGUAACGGCUCACCAAGGCGAUGAUGGGUAGCCGGCCUGAGAGGGUGAUCGGGCAGAAGGGGACUGAGACACGGCCCUUACUCCUACGGGAGGCAGCAGUGGGGAAGAUUGGACAAUGGACCAAAGUCUGAUCUAGCAAUUCGGUGUGCACGAUGAAGUUUUCGGAAUGUAAAGGGCUUUCAGUUGUUAAGCGGUACCAACAGAAGAAGUGACGGCUAAAUACGUGCCAGCAGCAGCGGUAAUUC
rnacentral:rRNA from 1 species